GACGAACGCUGGCGGCGUGCUUAACACAUGCAAGUCGAACGGUGACCCGGAGCUUGCUCCGGUGAUCAGUGGCGAACGGGUGAGUAACACGUGGGCAACCUGCCCCUGACUCCGGGAUAACUGCUCGAAAGAGCAGCUAAUACCAGAUACGACCACUUCGGGCAUCCGAUGGUGGUGGAAAGUUUUUCGGUCAGGGAUGGGCCCGCGGCCUAUCAGCUUGAUGGUGGGGUAGUGGCCUACCAUGGCGACGACGGGUAGCCGGCCUGAGAGGGCGACCGGCCACACUGGGACUGAGACACGGCCCAGACUCCUACGGGAGGCAGCAGUGGGGAAUAUUGCGCAAUGGGCGAAAGCCUGACGCAGCGACGCCGCGUGAGGGAUGACGGCCUUCGGGUUGGUAAACCUCUUUCUAGCAGGGAAGAAAUUAGACGGUACCUGCAGAAGAAGCACCGGCUAACUAACGUGCCAGCAGCCG
rnacentral:rRNA from 1 species